rnacentral:rRNA from 1 species
UACGUAGGCAGCGAGCGUUGUUCGGAGUUACUGGGCGUAAAGGGUGUGUAGGCGGUUGUUUUAAGUUUGGUGUGAAAUCUCCCGGCUCAACUGGGAGGGUGCGCCGAAUACUGGAUGACUAGAGUGCGGGAGAGGAAAGUGGAAUUCCUGGUGUAGCGGUGAAAUGCGUAGAUAUUGGGAGGAACACCAGUGGCGAAGGCGGCUCACUGGACCGGUACUGACGCUGAGGCGCGAAAGCGU